ACUGAAUAGAUACCCCGGUAGUCCAUGCCAUAAACGAUGAAUACUAGGUUUUGGGCCCGUCAACGGUCCAGAGCCGCAGCUAAACGCGUUAAGUAUUCCGCCUGGGGAGUACGGUCGCAAGACUGAAACUCAAAGGAAUUGACGGGGGCCCGCACAAGCGGUGGAGCAUGUGGUUUAAAUUCGACGCAACGCGAAGAACCUUACCAAGGCUUGACAUGGGGGAAGACCGGACGAGAGAUCGUCCUUCUCUAGCAAUAGAGCUUCCCACACAGGUGCUGCAUGGCUGUCGUCAGCUCGUGUCGUGAGAUGUUGGGUUAAGUCCCGCAACGAGCGCAACCCUCGUUUCUAGUUGCCAUCAUUCAGUUGGGCCCUCUAGAGAGACUGCCGCGAAUAACGCGGAGGAAGGUGGGGACGACGUCAAGUCAUCAUGGCCCUUACGUCUUGGGCUACACACGUGCUACAAUGGGCGUUACAAAGGGUCGCAAGAGCGCAAGCUGGAGCCAAUCCCCGAAAAGCGCCCCCAGUUCAG
rnacentral:rRNA from 1 species